GUUGCUGCUUGGGACAAUAAAGUUAAGUCAGCAACCGUCUACCAGACUGCAAGAUUAAUCUCUUCCAGAGGAUUUCGUACCUUUCCAGAUACACUGUGUUGUGUGUGGAUAAGAAAUGCAGAGUGGUACCAGCAAUCACCUAAGCCACCAUUCCCCUAACAGACAAAAGGCUCAUGGGGACAGUUCCUGCAAUUUGCAGCAAAGCUCUCAAUUGUAGCUCUACGAACUUCAGAUACUGCCGAUGGUGGAGCUUGGGUGCACCGGGCCGGUUUUUCAGCCGUCUGGAAUCAACAUCUCCAGCUGAACUGGGGCCGGGAAUAAUAUAAGACUCCUUAGCAGCAUGAGUUUCAGCCAGUCAUUGCUGUUCUUUACAUUGCUGAGGAGGACAGUCCUGCCAACAUAACAGCUUGUUCAAUAACAGCCAGCCUGGUUGCUGUAGCCACAGAGGAUUUUUCAAGGACAAGAACCAGUGCUGGUCAAAAUGUGGUCUAGUGUGGUUUUCCAUACCGGCUCUCGGCAAGGAUUUCCAAGAAAG